CUCUCUCCCUCUUUCAUUCUGUCUCCUUCUUUCCUUCCUUCUCCCUUUUCCCCUUUCCUUUCCACUGUGUGGCCCAGGAUGGAUUUGGAUGUCAGAUCCUAGUACCCAGGCUUCAGGUGUUGUCAUGACAACAUGAUACCAUUGAGCUUUUUACAUGUGACACAUGUGCAGAAUGAAGCUAUUGCGCAGCUGCCAGCUCUCUCCCUUCCAUCGCCUGUGCAGUAUCUGCCAGUGUUCAGCAGUUUACAGCAAGCUGCACACCGAGGAAGGGAUCUAACCAUGCACAUGAGGCCAGUGUUCUCCUAGGAUGUUAUCACUUCAUCUCCUACUCUGUGCAUCUUGACUGUGGAUGCAAUGUCGCCAGCUGCCUCCAGCCUGUGGCCCCUGGGACUCCCCUCCACAAUGAACUGUGCCCUGGAAGUGUGUAUUGAAAAUAAACCUUUGUUCCUUAAGUUGCUUUUGCCAGGCGUUUUGUGGGAGCAACAAGCUGAGUUACUAAUGCAAUCAUUUGUGGCACUGGAAUUUCCCCUUUUCUGAAUUUGGCAGUUUAUUGGACUUCUAUGUAAACAUUUAAUAAAUUCUUUUAAUUAACACAGAGGUAUUUAGGAAUUGGAAUUAAGGAAAGGAUUGACUAUUACAAAGUGUUAUCAAAAAAUUUCAAGAUAAAUUCAUUUUUCAGAGU